AACGAACGCUGGCGGCAGGCUUAACACAUGCAAGUCGAGCGCCCCGCAAGGGGAGCGGCAGACGGGUGAGUAACGCGUGGGAAUCUACCGUACCCUACGGAAUAGCUCCGGGAAACUGGAAUUAAUACCGUAUACGCCCUACGGGGGAAAGAUUUAUCGGGGUAUGAUGAGCCCGCGUUGGAUUAGCUAGUUGGUGGGGUAAAGGCCUACCAAGGUGACGAUCCAUAGCUGGUCUGAGAGGAUGAUCAGCCACAUUGGGACUGAGACACGGCCCAAACUCCUACGGGAGGCAGCAGUGGGGAAUAUUGGACAAUGGGCGCAAGCCUGAUCCAGCCAUGCCGCGUGAGUGAUGAAGGUCUUAGGAUUGUAAAGCUCUUUCACCGAUGAAGAUAAUGACGGUAGUCGGAGAAGAAGCCCCGGCUAACUUCGUGCCAGCAGCCGCGGUAACAC
rnacentral:rRNA from 1 species